rnacentral:rRNA from 1 species
GGUCAAGCGAACAAGUGCAUGUGGUGGAUGCCUUGGCGAUCACAGGCGAUGAAGGACGCGGUAGCCUGCGAAAAGCCCCGGGGAGCUGGCAAACAAGCUUUGAUCCGGGGAUGUCCGAAUGGGGAAACCCACUCCUUAUGGAGUAUCCAUAGCUGAAUACAUAGGCUAUGUGAAGCGAACGCGGUGAACUGAAACAUCUAAGUAACCGCAGGAAAAGAAAUCAACCGAGAUUCCCAAAGUAGUGGCGAGCGAAAUGGGAUGAGCCUUGUACUCUUUAUUUGUAUUGUUAGCCGAACGCUCUGGAAAGUGCGGCCAUAGCAGGUGAUAGCCCUGUAGGCGAAAACAGUAUGAAAGAACUAGGUGUACGACAAGUAGGGCGGGACACGUGAAAUCCUGUCUGAAGAUGGGGGGACCAUCCUCCAAGGCUAAAUACUCGUGAUCGACCGAUAGUGAACCAGUACCGUGAGGGAAAGGCGAAAAGAACCCCGGGAGGGGAGUGAAAUAGAUCCUGAAACCGCAUGCAUACAAACAGUCGGAGCCUCGUAAGGGGUGACGGCGUACCUUUUGUAUAAUGGGUCAGCGACUUACGUUCAGUAGCAAGCUUAACCGUAUAGGGCAGGCGUAGCGAAAGCGAGUCCGAAUAGGGCGUUCAGUUGCUGGGCGUAGACCCGAAACCAGGUGAUCUAUCCAUGGCCAGGAUGAAGGUGCGGUAACACGUACUGGAGGUCCGAACCCACUAACGUUGAAAAGUUAGGGGAUGAGCUGUGGAUAGGGGUGAAAGGCUAAACAAACCUGGAAAUAGCUGGUUCUCUCCGAAAACUAUUUAGGUAGUGCCUCGUGUCUCACCUUCGGGGGUAGAGCACUGUCAUGGUUGGGGGGUCUAUUGCAGAUUACCCCGCCAUAGCAAACUCCGAAUACCGAAGAGUGCAAUCACGGGAGACAGACAUCGGGUGCUAACGUCCGGUGUCAAGAGGGAAACAACCCAGACCGCCAGCUAAGGUCCCCAAAUAUGGCUAAGUGGGAAACGAAGUGGGAAGGCUAAAACAGUCAGGAGGUUGGCUUAGAAGCAGCCACCCUUUAAAGAAAGCGUAAUAGCUCACUGAUCGAGUCGUCCUGCGCGGAAGAUGUAACGGGGCUAAGCCAUAUACCGAAGCUGCGGAUGCGUGCUUGCACGCAUGGUAGGAGAGCGUUCCGUAAGCCUGCGAAGGUGCCUUGUAAAGGGUGCUGGAGGUAUCGGAAGUGCGAAUGCUGACAUGAGUAGCGAUAAAGGGGGUGAAAGGCCCCCUCGCCGUAAGCCCAAGGUUUCCUACGCAACGUUCAUCGGCGUAGGGUGAGUCGGCCCCUAAGGCGAGGCAGAAAUGCGUAGCUGAUGGGAAGCAGGUCAAUAUUCCUGCACC